rnacentral:lncRNA from 1 species
GGCUGAGAUUCAGGCUCAGGUCUAGGGGUUGGGGAAUAUUAAAGUUUACAAGUACAAUCUUACUCCAUCCAUACACACACAUGGAGAAGCCAGGAGAGGACGCGGCCAGAGAUGGGCUCCUGCCCUUGAACCCCUGCUGGGGUGGAAGCAGGUGCACAAUGCUUCUUUGAGUAUCUCCGUGUCUGUGGCUGAUAUCCAGAUGCAAGGCUUCUUCCGGGCAUCCCUGGGAAUGGGAGUGCAUAGACAUACUGGUCAAAUUACAGCACAGCCUCUACACCUUUACUGAAGAUGGAAAACUGUUUUCCAAAGUUGACUUGCCUAACAUGAUGUAACUAUCAUGCAAAAAUAAAAAUAAAAUUAAGAAUAAAAAUUUAAAAAUGAAA